rnacentral:sRNA from 1 species
GCGAUGAGCUAAUUUGUGUAAGUCGAAGGAUAUGCUUUUGCUAAACGUAUGAAUGUGGUCAUACGGUCCUCGCCUCAAAACGCAUCAAAGACGCCCAAUUGGGCGUCU